UGUGGGGUGGUGGUCACAACAACUGUGAAUAAUGGAUAGAGGUUGUAUUUAGUUUGAUUGAAUUAGCCAAUAAGAUGGUGGAGGAGUGGUAAGAGAGAAACUUGGUGUUCUAAGGGACCCAAGUUCGAUUCCUGCCCUCUCCAUUAUUUUUUGAGGCACCUGGUGAUGAUGGGAGACUAGGCGAAUAGGUGGUGAUCGCUAGUUCGAUGGUUUUACCUCACCGCACUGUCGUGCCUUCGGGCGAGUGUUCAUGGGCUUCGGCCCUAGGUGAGAGUUUUCCCCGGUUCGGAGGAGAGGGUAUCCCGAUGUGGUGAAUUUCGCAUGUAGCCCAUUUGAAUGAUUCGUCGGCCGUUAAAAAAAAAGUUUGAUUGAAUUCUUUGACAUGUUAAAAUGCUUGUUGUAUGGAAGGGGUUGAUAGAGUUCAUUCUAAUUAAUUUGCAAAUCGAAGACAUCAAAAAUGAAUUUGAGAUUUUAAUUCGAACAAAUCUACCAACCAAAAAUAUUAAGAAAUGAAAAUUAAAUUUUCAUUCCAUUGUAUAAUUUGAAUUCCAUUAAAUUCCACGAACUAAACCCAUGUUUAAGGCCAUGUGUAGUCAUAAAGCCCUUUUGUGGGCGUUAUGCGACACGUGUCGUGCCACGUCACAUAGGGGCUUUAUGAGGCGUUAUGUCACUAGAGCCCGUAGUCAUAAAGCCCCUACCUCAUCAUAACCAAAGUGUAAAAUGCAGGGACCAAAGUGUAAAAUGCAGGGACCAAAGUGUUUUAAUGCAGGGACCAAAGUGUAAAAUGCAGGGACCAAAGUGGAAAAUGCAGAACAAUCCUUCCUCCUUCUCGCGCCGCGAUAUAUUUCACGCCAUUAAAUUUUUUUUGGUCAUGGCGCCCCGGGGGGCGGUGUUCUUGGCGCCAUAGCGGCGCUAUGUCCUUUUCUCGCGCCCCAUUACACAUAACCUAAUAGCUAAUGCCAUGUAAGUCAGACACGAUCAUGUACCACGUUUAUUUAAAGAGAUCAAACAUGCUGGUAAAUCAAUUCGGGUUGUAAUAAAGUUCUAAACAGAUUGACAUGUUUAACUACAUUCUAACCCAAACAUGACAUGUUUACUAAACGGCUUAGACAUAUCAACCCAAACACAGUUCGAAUUAGACAUGUCAACCAAAACCUAACUUUUUUCAUGUCGGGUUCGUGUUAUAUAAAAAACUUGUUUGUUUGUCAAAACGCGUGUGGGGCCCAGCUGAGUGAGUACUAACCCAGGCAACAUUGUAAGCAUAUAAUUUCAGGGAACAUGAGUGGUGGUAUGCGUAUUGGCAGCCAUGUAUGAAGCCUGCUUCAGUUACAAGUUCAUAAAUGCGCUUGUGUUUACAUUUUCUUGUUAUUUUUGCUUCUUGUUUCACCCCUUCUUUUCUUCUGGGAACUCAUCCACACCGUCCGUUCAUGCUUCCGAUGUUCCGAAAACAUGUCUGGAAAAGUGGUUUUGAUUACUGGUGCAGUGGUGCUUCAUCUGGACUUGGAGAGCUCAUGGCAUAUGAGUAUGCAAAACGCAGCGCAUAUCUAGCGAUUAUAGCAAUAAAAGAACCCGACAGUCUACUUGAGCAAGUAGCAGAUAGAGCUCGUGCACGUGGCUCUCCUGACGUUCUUUCUGUGUUUGCUGAUGUGUCAAAAUUCGACGAGUGUAGGGUGUUCGUUGAUGACACCGUUAAACAUUUUGGUCAUUGACAAACUUUUGGGGCUCGGUUUAUCCAACUCAUUGUGUGAUUCCACACCUCAUGAAAACCAAAGGAAAGAUUGUCGUCAAUGCCUCUUCUGCUGGAGUGUUGCACCCACCUAAUGGCGGCUUCUACACUGUAACAUUACCUAUUCACUUGGCUUACUUUAGUGUGAUGUCUUUACUGUGCUACUCUAUAUAUCUAACUCAACCUGCUAACAAGAAAAUGAUGACAUGUGUUUUAUCACCUAUUUCUAUUGCCUUGUUUCCCCUAGUUUGUUUAUUUUUAUUCAUCAUGGUCUUAUAAGGGAAUAAUUAAACAUACAAGAUUCGAUGAUAUGUCAUUUUUUAAUAUGUUAUGGUACCGACAGGCAAGUAAAGCAGCAUUGAUCAGCUUCUUUGAAUCCCUUAGAUUUGAAGUGUCUCCAACAAUAACAAUAACAAUCUUGACACUUGGGUUCAUUAAUACAAACAUCAUAACAGCCAACUAUUCUACCAAGGGUGUUGGUGUGCGUUUAAGAAAAGAUUUCAAAGAUGUAGUCCCAACAAUGGAAGCUGAACCAUGCGCGAAAGCCAUUGUUGAUGGAGUAUGCAAAGGAGUAACAUCCAUUACAACCAAAGUUCUUUAAGGCUUUCUUCUUGAUCAAAUUCUUGUUCCCACAACUACACAGUUUCUACCUCAAUAUAUUAUUCCCCUCAAAGAACAGAAGCCUGAAAAGAGAUGCAUAAAGCUUUGCAACAUAUAUCAUUGACAAACACAUAUUGGUGAUACCGUUGAUUGAUUGGAUCCGAUUCAUAUUUUAACUCGAUCAUUGUUAUGGGAAUUUCGUGUUUCGUUCAAUUAAUACACGAAAUAUAGUAUAUACGUGUUUUUGUCCUUGGUAAAUAUACUAUAAUGAAACUAGACUAGUUUAAGUGAGUUGUUGACAUUAAUGAUCUGUUAGUUGAGGAAGUAUUGGCAUUUAU